CCCGUUGCCUAGGCGCUCGGUCCAAGCUACUGCGAGCAGCUGCAACAAAACACUUGGUAGGCCUCAGGAGAGGAGAGCACUCUACUGUUGCGUCAAUAUUUGUAAACGGACAGACAUCAUUAACUGUUUCAAAUCGAGUUUGAAGGACAACGACAAUCUGAUGAUUAGUCCAGAGACUGACAUGGGCGGAGGCAAAUGCUGGAAACCACAAUCUAAACUUUGUUCCCAUAAAAACGCUUGGCUAAUUUGCAUGUGAUGCACGGACUCCAGUUGAGCUGUACACGGCCAUGGAAAAAAGAGAGAAAAAGGAGCUGGACGAGCUCACCCUCCGCUUGCAGAGGGACGGUGUGUCCCCUGAGGCUCCAGCAGAGGAGCGUGAGCUGCACCUGUGGCUUUUGCUCCAGCGCAGCGAGGGCAGCCUAAGCGCAGCCAGUGAAGACCUGCAGACUUUACGCACACAGCAGGCCAGCGAGAUGAGAGAGGUGGAAAAUUACGUGGAGCAUAUUCGAAACAUGCUGGAGGAGCGGGAAUCUCUAACAGCGGAGUACGAACGUGACAGCGAACAACUCCGUGCUGAGCUCGCCCUAAUGAAACACCAACAGGACUCCCAGUGUAAGGAGGUGGUGGAGAUGCUGGAGCAGGAGGGUCUAGCAGAGAUCAGUCAGAGCAGUGCCAGUGAGCAGGUGGCCUAUCUGCUGGUGGAGAGAGUCACUCUCCUGGAGAGACUGGAAGCUGCAGAAAGAAAACUGGACACCCAGACCCUCACUGGCAACCUCAGAGAGGUGCAUCUGCAGGAAGAGCUGGAUCAUAUGCGUCACACAUGGGAAGAGGAACUCAGGCAGCAAAAGGAAAGCAUGAAUAAGGUGAGAAGAUCUGUGUCACAUGAGCAGAAAGCAACUUCAAAAGCAGCGCGUUGAAGUCAUAUCCCAUUUAUCUAUAUUUAAUUGUUUCAUUGUCCAUCUCUUGAUAUGUUCUGCAUCAUAAUUUCUCCCGA
rnacentral:lncRNA from 1 species